UAAUACGUAGGGGGCUAGCGUUGUCCGGAAUCAUUGGGCGUAAAGCGCGUGUAGGCGGUCCGGUAAGUCCGCUGUGAAAGUCGGGGGCUCAACCCUCGGAUGCCGGUGGAUACUGUCGGGCUUGAGUACGGAAGAGGCGAGUGGAAUUCCUGGUGUAGCGGUGAAAUGCGCAGAUAUCAGGAGGAACACCAAUUGCGAAGGCAGCUCGCUGGGACGUUACUGACGCUGAGACGCGAAAGCGUGGGGAGCAAACAGGAUUAGAUACCCUGGUAGUCCACGCUGUAAACGAUGGGCACUAGGUGUGGGGGUGUCGACUCCCUCCGUGCCGAAGCUAACGCAUUAAGUGCCCCGCCUGGGGAGUACGGCCGCAAGGCUA
rnacentral:rRNA from 1 species